rnacentral:misc_RNA from 1 species
AUUUACAUGGUUCGACUAUAAGGGUCUACGCCCAGGUGUAAGAUGAAAACUUUCUAUUUUAUUUAUUUAUUUUUAUGUGUACAUAAGAAUAUUUAAUGUUCACUUUUAGCAUGAUCUCAUUCAAUGGUAUAUAAUAAAACUUUGUUGGGAAUAAAGCAAAUGAGUUCCUAUAUCUCAAUGGUAUAGCCUCAGUCUUUAAAACUGAAGGCAUGUAGUUCAUUUCUAUAUAGGGAUCCGGAUUAGAAACUUUUGCUUGUAAACUACUCACACUCUUGCUCUUUUGUUUUUGUUUUUAUUAUGAUCUCAAUAGCUGUGGACAAGUUGUAAUAGAAUAAAUUACAGAAGCAAAUGCAAGGGACAAAAGUCCCUAUAGCCUGAUGGUAGAGUGUGAGUCUUGAGAACUGAAGGGCUAUAGUAGUUUUCUACCUAUAGGAUGUUUGUUUGGGGAUUUGGAGAGUCUAACUCUUGUUUGGAAGCAGGGAACGAAGAGAGAAAAGGAAGUGAAGAGAGA